rnacentral:rRNA from 1 species
GAAUAUUGGACAAUGGGCGCAAGCCUGAUCCAGCCAUGCCGCGUGAGUGAUGAAGGCCUUAGGGUUGUAAAGCUCUUUCGACGGGGACGAUAAUGACGGUACCCGUAGAAGAAGCCCCAGCUAACUUCGUGCCAGCAGCCGCGGUAAUACGAAGGGGGCUAGCGUUGCUCGGAAUCACUGGGCGUAAAGCGCACGUAGGCGGAUCUUUAAGUCAGAGGUGAAAUCCCAAGGCUCAACCUUGGAACUGCCUUUGAUACUGGGGAUCUCGAGUCCGGAAGAGGUGAGUGGAACUGCGAGUGUAGAGGUGAAAUUCGUAGAUAUUCGCAAGAACACCAGUGGCGAAGGCGGCUCACUGGUCCGGUACUGACGCUGAGGUGCGAAAGCGUGGGUAGCAAACAGG